GAUGAACGCUAGCGGAGGCCUAACACAUGCAAGCCGAGCGGUAUUGUUUCUUCGGAAAUGAGAGAGCGGCGUACGGGUGCGGAACACGUGUGCAACCUGCCUUUAUCUGGGGGAUAGCCUUUCGAAAGGAAGAUUAAUACUCCAUAAUAUAUUGAACGGCAUCGUUUAAUAUUGAAAGCUCCGGCGGAUAGAGAUGGGCACGCGCAAGAUUAGCUAGUUGGUGAGGUAACGGCUCACCAAGGCAAUGAUCUUUAGGGGGCCUGAGAGGGUGAUCCCCCACACUGGUACUGAGACACGGACCAGACUCCUACGGGAGGCAGCAGUGAGGAAUAUUGGUCAAUGGGUGCAAGCCUGAACCAGCCAUCCCGCGUGAAGGACGACUGCCCUAUGGGUUGUAAACUUCUUUUGUAUAGGGAUAAACCUUUCCACGUGUGGAAAGCUGAAGGUACUAUACGAAUAAGCACCGGCUAACUCCGUG
rnacentral:rRNA from 1 species